UACGUAGGGUGCGAGCGUUAAUCGGAAUUACUGGGCGUAAAGCGUGCGCAGGCGGUUUGCUAAGAACGCUGUGAAAUCCCCGGGCUUAACCUGGGAACUGCAUUGGUGACUGGCAGGCUAGAGUAUGGCAGAGGGGGGUAGAAUUCCACGUGUAGCAGUGAAAUGCGUAGAGAUGCGGAGGAACACCGAUGGCGAAGGCAGCCCCCUGGGCCAAUACUGACGCUCAGGCACGAAAGCGUGGGGAGCAAACAGG
rnacentral:rRNA from 1 species